rnacentral:tRNA from 1 species
GCGGAAGUAGUUCAGUGGUAGAACACCACCUUGCCAAGGUGGGGGUCUCGCGGGUUCGAAUCCCGUCUUCCGCU